rnacentral:lncRNA from 1 species
UGAAAUUUCAGAACUUUCCAGAACAUUUUUUAGCUACCGAGACAAAAAGGCAAUAACAUGCUGGAGUAAUUUUUAGGAGUGUGACUUAUUCCUGACUGCAAAGCCCAGGUUUUUGUGUGAAUGUUUAAAAAAAUGUUUUGGGACGUGAGGGUGGAUCUGUACUUAUUUCAUAUUUUGUGCUCCAGGUUUGCAGAGUUUAAAGAGAAGUGAUGCACAUUCCACCAUACUUUUUUGCGUCAUUUAACAUAAGACAAGUAAAGUCUAAAUUAGGAAUAUUGAAAAUAAGCUACGACAAGUCAACUACAUUCCCAAGAGAGAAGAAACAUGCACAGCCAUAAUUUUCUUUGGCACUUUGUUUCACAAAUUUAGAAACCUAACUUGUGCUAGACUUUUUGGUAGGUGCCAUACUUGUUAGAGUUGUUCACUGGCUGUCAGUAUUGCCUUUUGGAAUGAGGAACUUUUACCCACAAUAUGACUGAGUUAUAGAACACCAUACAUAACAUGGUUUGUUAUAGACCCUACAUAGACCAUACAUUGGGCAACAGUGUGCAGUAUCAGUCAGCAGUUCCCAAGGCCAGUCAUGGUGUAAAAAGCAUAAAGUCAACUUAUCCUGUUACGUACUUGUUAAUGUAUUAUCCCUGCCAUUGUCCCAAGCUUGUUUUCAAUAAGUAUAUUACAAAACUGGUGAUAAAAAUGGGCUUAAUAGGGCGCUGUAGUCACUAGAUCCCACUACAGCUUAAUGUAGUGGUUCUGGUGUCUACAUUGCUGAGCCUGCAUGGACAUGCUAAGAACACUGCCUAGUAAUACCUCUUGUGGCAGUCACUCGGAUGGCCAUUAGAGGUGCUUCCUGGGUUAGGUCAUUUAGUCCAGCUUUGCAUGGAGACGUUUAACACUUUCCGUAUAGCUGCAUUGAUUCGAUGCCCCACUGUGAGGUGAUGCUGAUUGGUUCAGCACUGCAUUUUGUUGAUAAUUGAUCUUCCCCAGUAUACCAGCUACAGUGAGGUCAGCAUGGCGAUGGAAAAAAGGUACGUUAAAUUGUUAUGGUGUUAGAAAUACAUGUUUAUAUUCCUCACACUAUUUGUUUACUGUAGGGGGGGAAAAGCAUCUUAAAGCGACUGUCACUUUCAGGGGUCUUUGCUUAUUUUGAAAGUAAAAUAUAAAAUGUUCUGCCUAAAUCUGAAGUUUUUAAUUUGUUCUUUUUGAGAUGGACUACAAAAUAUUUUACGGUUAAAUUUUUUUCGCCAUUUUUUUUUGUUUUCACCUUCUUUUUGAUCAGUAGCAGAAACAUUUUUUGUGAAGGGCUGGAUGUCCCCUUCACCCCACACCUUUCUUUUCCCAGUCUACAUCAAUCAAGUCAAUUUCUUUCCACUGGUACUUAAAAGUAGCACAUUGCUUCAUUCAUAUUGGUCAUUCACUUGCAUGAAGUGACCUAUACAAAACUUCCCCAUGAACAGAGUUAUUCAGAAAAGUGUUUAAAUUAAUUUUAAAUUCAUCACAAUUUACACAAUAUAAAAUAGCCAAGAUAGAAAAGUUCUCAAUGUCCACUGUGUCUUCUGUUUGUCUGUUUUUAACCUUGAAUUAGAAUUUCUGCAUACAUGCUAUAAAUAUUGUUGUAAGGGUAUAUCACUUUUGCCUUUUUGUUUGAUCAAAUUUUAAGCAUUUAAUGUAAAACCAUUUUAUAUUUUGCUUAAUGGGACAACCCACUGCCCAAAUAAGUCACUGUUUAGUAGAUGUACACACAAUCAAAACAUGCGUGCUUUUUUACGUAUUUUUUCAUUUGGGAUAUUUCUUAAAGUAGACUUUCAGUGGCUGUCCAAUCAGACAAUGCAGUUCAUUGAGGUUCUCUGGGCAAUUGCCUGCCUAUUGAGUUCAGCUCCACUGCUCUAAAGAAAUUGGGAAGUAACAGGAUUGGUUGUCAUCUUCAUCUUUAAAAUUUGUGGUGGUCCUUGAGUCAAGAUUUUGCACUUUCUUUUUUUUUUUAUCAAAUUUGUUUACAGAAAUGCUGUAUCUUUUCACAAACUGACUUAUCCACUUGUAAUAAACCUGGUUUUCUUGUCCUUCUGCAGGCGAAUUUACAGCCUUCAAGUAACUGCACUGCCACUCCAGCACCUCUCUUACUUCUAAAGUCUUGUGUUCUUAUAGUUUUACUUAGCACUGGAACUAAACCCACAAAUACAUCCAUACUGUAAAAGGGACCAGCAUGAACAUCACAGAAAGAGGGGGCGGGAUAAGGGACCAAGCAAAUUCUUCACAUUUGCCACUCGAAUGAACACAGCAGUGCUGUCCAGUUGCUACUCCCUUCACAACCCACUGGUGUAUUCACCGCUAAGGAAAGGGCAUGGCCUUUGGCUUUGUUCGGGCAUGAAAAAAUGGAUCUUCUGCAUUGUGGAAAUAUUUUCUUCUGACUAUCCAAGCUACUAACAAGGGGCUCACUUUUUUUUUUUUUUCUCUCUUUUCUUUUUCGGACUACACACCAAUCACCAUGGGACAAACUCCACUCAAAUUGUCAUGGUUGAUUUUACUCUUUACUAAUGUUUGGAGAAUAAAAUGCCUGAUCUCCCUUCACACCCUUUCCUCCCCCUUCAGCCACACUUUUUUUUUCUUUUCUAUUUUUUUUUUUUUUUUGGCAGUUAAAAAAUGUGAUAGAAAGUGAAACGUAUAUUUAGGGAGAGCCCUCAGUUAUUGUGUUUUAUAAGUGAUUUAAACUUUAGAUAUGAAUUUCUAAACUUAAAGGACUCUAUAGACACCAAAACAACUUUAGCUCAAUGAUGUAGUUUUGGUAUAUAGAUCAUGUCCCUGCAGUGUCACUGCUCAAUUAUCUGCCAUUUAGGAGUUAAAUCACUUUGUUUAUGCAGUCACACCUCCCUACAUGUGAUUUAAACAGCCUUCCUAAGCACUUACUGUAAAGUGGACCUAAUGUUUACACUUCCUUUAUUCAACAGUCUGCUUAUUUUAGACAUUGUCACCUGCACUGUUGAUAACUUGGUAGACCUUGCAGGUGCCUCCUGUGUGAUUAAAGGGACACUCCAGGCACCCAGACCACUCCAGUUCAUUGGAGUGGUCUGGGUGCCUUGCCCCUGUCUCCUUAGCCCUGUUAGUUAAAAUACUGCGGUUUUGGAAAAACCGCAGUGGUUUGAUUACAGGGCUAAUCCCACCUCUAGCUGCUGUCUCUCAGACAGCCGGUAGAUGGUGCUUCCGGCUUCUUAGAACACAAAAAAAUUUUUUUUUAAAUGACGCUGGACAUCCUCACGCUAUGCAUGAGGACCUCCAGCGUCACCAGAAUCCCCAUAGGAAAGCAUUGAAUGAUGCUUUCCUAUGAAGAGGUCUAAUGUGUGUGCGGCUAUUGCUGUGCAUUCACAAUAGACCCAGAUUGUCGCGGGACAGCAAUGGGGACAGUGCUUCGACCAAGCGCUGAGGGUCAUCGGCCCUGGGUCAGGUAAGUAAAUAAAGGGUUUUUAACCCUUUAUUUACCUGGGAGGAGGGGCACGUAGGAGAGGGGAGGCAGAGGGAUUGGUAAUGCCAGAAAUACAGCUUUGUAUUCCUUGCACUACAGUAUCACUUUAAAGUUUAAUUUUCUGAGCAUUAGAUACAACUUCUAAAGUAAGUUAACAUCUAAUAUUUUUUUUUUUCCCCAUGCAGCCAGCGAGUCACAGCCGGGGGAUGUGUGGCUAGGGCUGGAAAGAAACAAAUGAUUUGACUUGUAAAUGGCAGAGAAUUGAGCAGUGAGACCUUAGAGGUAUGAUCUGUACACAAAAACUGCUUAAUUAAGCUAAGGUUGUUUUGGUAACUGUAGUGUCCCUUUUAGCCAAAUAUUUUUAGCCAAAAAAUCUACUUUAUGCAAUAUUGCAAGUCUUAUUUUCUACUUAUGUAGGGAGUACCACUAGAACUAACCUUUUUAAAAUGACCAAUCAUUAAAUAUAUAACAAUGGAGGAUUUCUUACACAUGAAAAUAUAGAAACUUCUUCCAUUAGUCAUCUGUUACAUGGAAACCUGAUCAUUGGGUAAAGUUUUAAUAUUUUAACAUUUUAAAAAGAAAAAAAAAACACUCUUGCUAAAACCAUUAUUUGGCUUUAAAGAAAAAAAUGCAAACCAUUUAAUUUGUAUAAGUUGAGGUGCCUCCCUUCUGAGUAUUGCUUUAAUGGAGAUUCUGCUUUUUAUUUUUGUACAUUUUUAUUUCCUAUUUCCCUUUAAUCUUUGUUCAUUUGAUUGUUCUAACAAUGAACUUUCUAAUAUUGAUUACCCAUCUUUUUCUGACUAUACUUAUUUUUCACAAAGCUUAUUUAUUUUAUAUAGCUUUCCUUUCCUGUUUGCUUUGGCAAAACAAAAAUUAGUCUCUUAUUCAGCCAAACAACUAUUGUCACGUGAUGGAUAGUUGCAUGAAUAUCAGUGGACAGAAUUGCUGUGUUUAUGUAUGCCAUGGUUAAAUCACGGUUUGGAAGCCUAAUUAAUCACUUGAGUUUAUUCACCAAUUGGUGUGUUGACAGCAGGCUUACAAAAUCAGUGUGGUGGAUACAAAUCCAGCUUAAAUAAAUUGGAGAAUAUUCCCAAAUCAGUUGUCUGCACACUGCUACUCACUGUUUAGUGGAGACACUUUUAAGUAUGAUCAGUGUUUGUAAAUUAUUAUUUUUUUAUUUUUUAUUUUUUAUUUAAGCUCUGUUCAGUUCUCCAUCUCGAUUCUCCAUAAUAUAGUUGGGCUCUAACAACUCUCUCAUGUUUAGGUUGAGGGUAGUAGUUGUAGCUGUACAAUAAUUGCUUUAAUGUUGCAUUUUCACCUGUCAUCUAUUUUUUUUUUUUUUUUAUGUGAAUACUGUGCAUUCUCUGCUUGUAUGGUAAUAUUCUGACCGGCUACAUCAUCUGCUCUGACUAGCCAUUGUCAUGAAUGUUUGUUAACUAUAUUUGUAAGAUCUUGGCAGCAGAACAGUUAUAUAUCACUCUUUUAAAGGAACACUCCUGGCACCAUAGCAACGUCAUCUGGAUGACAUUAUGGUGCCAGGAGGUCCCUGAUGCCAGCUUACCUUUAGGUGCUGUUUAGCUCUGUCACUACCUUUCCACUUAUAUCUGAUUCUUGAAACAGGAAGCCUUGAACUGGGGUGCCACUGAUUGGCAUCCAGCUACCUUUUCUGCUACUGGUUUUUUAUUGAUUUGUUUCCUUUAACAUAAACACUUUAUAGAAUAGAAACACAAAAUGGCCACUGAUGGCGAGUUAAUUUUUAGUUUGUACAGCUUACAAAAAACAUAUUUCUUUAUAUAUUUAAAUUAUUUUGAUAUGUAAAUAUUGGACAUAUUAAACACGGCCGGUGCUUGCAUGUUGAAACCAUACAAUAUAGGCUUUAACAUCGGACACAUGCUGUGACUCUUCCUCUGUAUGCCACCCAUUAAAUUUUUUUAUUUUUUUUUUAUUUACACACAUGGUGUACAGGCUACUUUAAAAAUGUUUAUAGCUAAUAUUUUAGUUUCCCAACAAAACCGUACUUUUGCUAAGACUCAAUUCCCCCUUCCCCCAUUCCCCCCUCUCCCCCCCCGUAUUCAGUGAACUUGAGGUUGACAUACAAAAAAGUACACGUUUAGAAAAGCCAUGGGUAAUUUUCUAAAUCCGUUUCGGCCAAGCGUUGCAGGUUUAACUUCUUUUUUUAGUGAUUUAAAUUCCAAGGCAGUACAAACAGUCAUCCUCAUAUUUUGGUUUUGUGCAUGUUUGUUUGUCAUUCUACUUUAUCUUUAAGAAAGGAGUAUUUUGGUCUAUAUGUGUAUUUUAAAUAAUCCAUCUUGGAUUUAAUGUAUAUGCUUAGAGCAAACAACGAAGGAACCCUUGACAACAAUGAAGGCUUAUCUUGCCACUGCAUUGCCUAUUUUACAUAUUUGAUAGUCUGCAGUGCUAGGGUUAGCCAUCAACUCUAGAUUUGGUGGGAUUCUUAGUUAAGAUCCUCUCUUCUAUUGGCUGCAUACAGAACACUACAGGCAAUCGGAGUCUGAAUAAUAAUUUGCAGAACUAAUUUGUGAUAUAAUAUUGUUGUAUUUCUAUAUUUAUUGCAGAUUGUCUUCAUGGUCAAUUGCUGUAGCUCACAAGGAUAUUUUGCCCCAGAUCAAAAGUAAACUUUUUUUUUGGUAUAUAUUUUUUGAGGGUUUUUGUUUUUUAUCUCAGUUUUGGGGUAAAAUUAAAAACUGUAUUUCGAAUGUAUACAACAAGUUAUGUAUAAGUAUAUUUUCACAGCUAUAGGCAGGCCCAGAGAAAAUCAAAGAUAUUUAUUUUUCGUCAGCCAAAAAUUUCCUAUGUGGAAGCCAUGCAGCUCUUUUUGAACUUUGUCUUUUUACACAAAGUACAAAAAAAAUAAACACCCUCCAGCAUUUCCAGUGGAAAAAAGUUUACCUUUAAGCACUGAGACGGUCUGUGCUGCUGGUCACUCUGCCUACUGUGACGUCAUCUCGCUUUCAAGCCGAUGGCCAAUCUAAUGUUCCUCUGAGCAUUGGAGACUGAUAUGCAUUUGUCUUGAGUGUUACAGAUCCAAAUGCUUCUCAUCAUCAUCAUCAUUAAACUCAAUGCAUUCAUAUGAGCUGCAGCUUCACGUGAACGAUUUACUCUGUCGUAGAUGAAGCACUUCUAGUGGUGGUCUGGAAGACCACCACCCACUAGAGAUGUGUUUAACCGGUCAUGUAAACACUGCAAUUCAAAAAAAAACAGCAAUUUAAAAAGACCACCACACCCAGACAAGUGAUAGUGGAGACUUUAGUGGUUCUUUAAGCGAGCCUCAUUGUUUAGUGAAUAGCCCAUGUUGAAAUAUUUGACCACAAAGAUACAAAAUCGGUCACCAAAAAUGUAUUGGAAUGUUAAUGCCUUAUUUUGAAGCAGACAUGAUUUUUAGCCAUUUCUGAAAUGUAUUCUUUAUUGGAACAAACUAAUGUAGUAUCCGUGUACCAUUAAUCAUUUGGGAAGUUUUCCUCUCUUUUCACUCUAGUUUUAAUGAUUACAAACCAAUAGGGUGUCUUUUUAUGCACUUUAUAUUUUUGUCAGUCUUGUUUGAAGCUGUUGCUCUGAGCUGCCAAAAGGAAAUAGUGAACAAUGACGCUAGUAACAUGACCUUAAAGUAAAUUGUAGUUCACAGUGCAUUAUAGAUACUACUUAUCACAACACCAAAAUUAAGUUUGUUUUCAAGAUCUAUUUAAUGAUUCUAAAAACAUGUGUAUGCAAGAAGUAUAUUGCCAGCUGUUGUAGAAAUACCAAGAUGCUUCUCCAUAGCAACGUGUUUUUUACAUUUCUACGUUUGAGCAGUCUUCCUUCUCAGGGCAUGUUGAAGGAGAGCAGUGUAUUUGUUCCUAGCACACAAUACAUUUAACUAAGGACACUCUAGGCACCAUAACCGCAUGAUAUUGAAGUGGUUAUGGUACUAUGAAGAGGUCUUUUCAUUGUUAGACUUAAGAGGAGCUUUUAGUGCCGGUUGCAAACAGUCAGAAAAAUUUAAAUUACAGUUCCCAUCUUUCAGCACACAUUAUGCACGAUGAUUUUGAGUGAGUUGAAGGAACUUCUCCCCAGGAGUGAGUGCUUGCAAGUGCCAGGACUGUCCUGGUCUGUCUGGUGCUGGUCAAGUUUGGCUGCAUUUACCAGUCACCAAUCACAACAUGGACAGUAUUUGGACUGAGAGAGGCAUUGACUGCAGGUAGCAGUGACAUACAACCUCAUUGGUGUAUGUUUGCAUGCCACCCAGAAAGUUUAAUUUUUAAAUUUCUGACUGAUAUAACUUGCACUCAAUUACCUGUUUGUGGCACGGACAAUUAAUCUAAGAAUGCAGGAACCUAGUCAUAGCACUCAAGCUAAAGUGGUUAUGGUAUCUAGUCCCCCUUUCAAGCACAAUUUCAUGUUUUUUGUUUUUUCUUCAGUAAACUCCCUCAUAUAUGCACUAAAACAUGCCCCUAAAGAAUCCCCACAAGACCUUGCUCUCAACUCCUUUUUAUAGGUUUGUGUUUUUAUGUACAUAUCUACCAUGAAUGAUUUCAGUGUUUUUGGUUGUGUUUAGGAUGUUUGGUUGGGGUUGUGGUCUCCAAAGCACUUGCAUAAUUUUUCAUUUGACAUUCGACAGUUUUGUAGCAAAGUUGUAGCUUUACAAAUCAUGAUUGAUGUUGGAAGAUCUUCAGUUUCUUUUUGUGACCCUCAUAACACAGACAAUUUAUUAAAGAGGAGUUUCUGAACUGUAGGUUACUGACCUCCUACCGCUUAGAACUGUUGACAGAAAAGGAGUACAACAUGUUUUCAUAUUUCUUUGGUGGUUAUUAAUGUAAAAUUGUAUAUAUUUGUUCAUAAGGUGAAGUAUGUUUAAUUUAAGGAUGUUCCUAUUGGAAGUGCAAUAACUUUUACUGAAAGCUGUGAACAAUUAAACGUACAUAUUCAUUCUCAUUUGUUGACUGUCCCUCAUUGCUGUUUAUGUAAGCCUCUCCCUGUCUAGCUUCCCAACAAAUCCUUUUUAAAUCCAGUAUUUUACUUACUUUUUAUUUUCCUUUUUCUUUGCAUCUUCUAGCAAGGUCUCUAGAUGUUGGUGCACAUUCCAUGUCAGCACUGUUUUCCUUCCCUUUGUUCUAUUAUUUUUGUUACAACAUAUCAAUUUCAACCUCCUGGCCAUCAAGGGCUACUAGGAAGGCACUAGGUUACAAUUUUGAGUAUCCCCGCUGUGUAUUCUGACCAUUGGCACAUGUGCUUUUUUUUUUGUGGGUCUUGGUGGGAUAUGAGAUGAAAUCUUGCAACUUUUAAAAUCAAAGCAUUCACUUAUUUGUAUGGAUUAUAGAUGUUGUUGAAUGUUUUCUUUAAACAUCCUUACUGCUAUAUGAAAUAAAACUUCCCUAGGGACACUUGGAAGGAAGUAGUUAAGAAAUCUGCACUAUUUAGCUUAACUAAAGGCACAACUGUAUCCCUUCUUACAGUAUCACAAUCUAGAACUCCACCCUCUCUUUCGACAAUUUCAUCUUUAACCAUCUUAUUGUAUCAGUUGCCUGGCUUUAAUUCAUUGUCCUUGUUAAUGCACAACUAUUAAUCACCAGGUUGGGUUAAUUUAUAUUAAGUUAGAUUUUCCUUUUUUCUAUGAAAAUAAUUUGUGUUUUGGGGAAUUAACACGUGAUUUAUACAUUGACUUUUAUGUUUUUGUUUGUUAAAUCAAGUUCUUAACCAAUUAUUGCCAAUAUAUCUCACUAGACAUGGUGUUCUUACAGCUUCAUUUAUCUCAAACACACAAACACAUUAGAGGAUUUAGCAAUAACUGCCCUUUCCGGGGCAACAAUCCCAGCUCUGGUGCUUGUUUAUUACAGCAUCUGAUUGUAUUGUAUGAACCAUAUUGGGAGUUAUUUAUAAAGAGCAUUUGUGGGGAAACAUUCUAAAAGUAGAGCAAUCGACACAAGCAUUGAGUUGGAUCCCAGGUUGUUUACUCAAUUGGCGAAUCCUUUUCUCUAGAAUUGCUCCUUAUCAUAACAUCCCAUAUGUCCUAACCAGCAAUGUGAGGUUUCAGAAGCCGUGCUUUUUUAAUGUAGCUUUGUCUUUAAAAUUGUUUAAAUACUUGAAACUAUUUUGUUUUUAUGAGUAGUUUUCAACAUUAAUCAACCAGUGAUUUUUGUUUGUUUUUAGUGGCUUACCUGACUAACUCAAAUGUGUUUUCCAGGUGUCAUAUUAAUGCUGGUGCCUAGUAGUCACAUGGGACAGGCUUUUGUUGUACCUUCUCAUUUAUCCCAAAUAAUCUGUAUAUUUGUUUCCCCAUUAUAGACUACCUUCUUACCUUUUAGAUGUGCUUUUCGAUAUUGUAAUUAGGCUGGUCAGUUUUUGUUGCCUGACCCGACAUCCCUCUUUUUUUUUGUACUGAUAAAGGUAAAAUGAGACAAGACACCCAUCACGUUUGCUUGGAGAGCUGUGUUUUCUUAGUUUGAACGGUUUUAAUUUGUUUUAUUCUCCAUUAAUACUUGUACUUGAGCCCACACAAGCAGGUUUUCUGUUGUAUCCAUUCCAAUAAAUCUAAUCUAAUAUAUUGUUCUAUUAUUAAGAAAAGAUACCUAAAGUUUAGUUACUAGGGAUUGCAGUCAGGUAAGGGUAAAAAACUUGUAAUCUUUACGUGUAAAACGUUUUUUAAUAAUGUGGAUCACAUCUAUUCCAUAUAUUUAUGGACGAAUAUCUAUUUUUUUCCAUUAAGAUUUCUAAAACAUUUGAUUGCAUACAUAUCAUAAGAAUAUCUGAUGUUUUUGACUACUGUUUGACCUUCAGCACUUUUUUUUUUUCUCAACACUUGCAGCAUAAAUGUUUUCUUAUGUAAUGCUUCUUAAGUGUAUGAGUUUGUACAUUUAUUCUAAAUCCACAGCUGCUACUGGUGCCUUGCCAGGCAAAUCACGUGCAUUGUGUACAGGUUGCUUAUUGAUGUUUCCACAUUUCCAACUUGUCCUGCUGAGCUGCACAACAGGUAUCUGGAAAAAUCUUGUGUCCCUAAAGAUUUAAAGCUGCUUGUGAGAAAUAAUUAAUGAAGUACACUUCUGUUUUGAAACAUAUUUAUUUUAUAAAGCAGAUUUUUAUUUUCUGUUACAUGACUUGUGUGAUGAAGAGAAACUGUAUAAAUGGUUUUUGUUUGUUUCUUUGUUUUUUUUGCUGCAACCUUCUUACUGAUGAAAUGUUAUUUAUUUUAUCCUUUCUUUUCUCACCUUUAAUUUUUACUUUUUUGUAUCCUCAUGCUCUGGCCUUACUCAGGUCUUUCCACCUCCUUUUUAAUUUUUAUUUUCUCAUGUAAAUUUGUACAAUGGGAAAUAUUCAUUUUGGUUAGAGAGCAUGGAAACUUGAGGCAAAGAAAAAAAAAAAAAUUUCAUAGAUAAAAUUUAAAGUGAAUAUUUCUGUGUAAAGUUAUUUAAAAAAAAUUGUAUUAUAUGAAACAGCAAAAAGGGUAUGUGAACCUAAUGUGAAUAUGGGAACACAGAUAUAAUAAAGGUGGACUGCAUGGAAAACCAGA